rnacentral:rRNA from 1 species
UACAGAGGGUGCGAGCGUUGUCCGGAAUCACUGGGCGUAAAGGGCGCGUAGGUGGUGGCUUAAGCGUGCGGUGAAAGCUCGGAGCUCAACUCCGAGUCGGCCGUGCGAACUGGGCUCACUGGAGCAUAGUAGAGGCAGGUGGAAUUCCGGGUGUAGCGGUGGAAUGCGUAGAGAUCCGGAAGAACACCGGUGGCGAAGGCGGCUCACUGGCCCGGUACUGACGCUGAGGUGCGAAAGCGUGGGGAGCAAACAGG